rnacentral:rRNA from 1 species
GGGGAAUAUUGCACAAUGGGCGCAAGCCUGAUGCAGCGACGCCGCGUGAGGGAUGGAGGCCUUCGGGUUGUAAACCCCUUUCGCCAGUGAAGCAGGCCUGCUCCUUGUGGGUGGGUUGACGGUAGCUGGAUAAGAAGCGCCGGCUAACUACGUGCCAGCAGCCGCGGUAAUACGUAGGGCGCGAGCGUUGUCCGGAAUUAUUGGGCGUAAAGAGCUCGUAGGCGGCUGGUCGCGUCUGUCGUGAAAUCCUCUGGCUUAACUGGGGGCUUGCGGUGGGUACGGGCCGGCUUGAGUGCGGUAGGGGAGACCGGAACUCCUGGUGUAGCGGUGGAAUGCGCAGAUAUCAGGAAGAACACCGGUGGCGAAGGCGGGUCUCUGGGCCGUUACUGACGCUGAGGAGCGAAAGCGUGGGGAGCGAACAGGAUUAGAUACCCUGGUAGUCCACGCCGUAAACGUUGGGCACUAGGUGUGGGGGGCCUUUUCCGGGUCUUCCGCGCCGUAGCUAACGCAUUAAGUGCCCCGCCUGGGGAGUACGGCCGCAAGGCUA